rnacentral:tRNA from 1 species
GGAGAGAUGGCUCAGAGGUUAAGAGCACUGGCUGCCUUCCAGAGGUCCUGAGUUCAAUUCCCAGCAACCACA